GGGGAAUAUUGCACAAUGGGGGAAACCCUGAUGCAGCAACGCCGCGUGAAGGAUGACGGUUUUCGGAUUGUAAACUUCUUUUCUUAGUGACGAAGACAGUGACGGUAGCUAAGGAAUAAGCAUCGGCUAACUACGUGCCAGCAGCCGCGGUAAUACGUAGGAUGCAAGCGUUAUCCGGAUUUACUGGGUGUAAAGGGAGCGCAGGCGGGACUGCAAGUUGGAUGUGAAAUACCGUGGCUUAACCACGGAACUGCAUCCAAAACUGUAGUUCUUGAGUGAAGUAGAGGCAAGCGGAAUUCCGAGUGUAGCGGUGAAAUGCGUAGAUAUUCGGAGGAACACCAGUGGCGAAGGCGGCUUGCUGGGCUUUAACUGACGCUGAGGCUCGAAAGUGUGGGGAGCAAACAGGAUUAGAUACCCUGGUAGUCCACACUGUAAACGAUGAUAGCUAGGUGUGGGGGGUCUGACCCCUUCCGUGCCGGAGUUAACGCAAUAAGCUAUCCACCUGGGGAGUACGACCGCAAGGUUGAAACUCAAAGGAAUUGACGGGGGCCCGCACAAGCAGUGGAUUAUGUGGUUUAAUUCGAAGCAACGCGAAGAACCUUACCAGGUCUUGACAUCCGACUAACGAGAUAGAGAUAUGUCAGGUGCCCUUCGGGGAAAGUCGAGACAGGUGGUGCAUGGUUGUCGUCAGCUCGUGUCGUGAGAUGUUGGGUUAAGUCCCGCAACGAGCGCAACCCCUGCCAUUAGUUGCUACGCAAGAGCACUCUAAUGGGACCGCUACCGACAAGGUGGAGGAAGGUGGGGACGACGUCAAAUCAUCAUGCCCCUUAUGACCUGGGCUACACACGUAAUACAAUGGCCGUUAACAGAGGGAAGCAAAGCGGUGACGCAGAGCAGAACCCUAAAAACGGUCCCAGUUCGGACUGUAGGCUGCAACCCGCCUACACGAAGUUGGAAUUGCUAGUAAUCGCGGAUCAGCAUGCCGCGGUGAAUACGUUCCCG
rnacentral:rRNA from 1 species